rnacentral:rRNA from 1 species
AACGAACGCUGGCGGCGUGCUUAACACAUGCAAGUCAGGGGGCCCGCAAGGGUCACCGGCGAACGGGUGCGUAACACGUGAACAACCUGCCCGAGCGAGGGGGAUAGCCGGCCCAACGGCCGGGUAAUACCGCAUAUGCUCACAGCGUCAUAAGGCGCAGUGAGGAAACCUUCGGGGCGCUCGGAGGGGUUCGCGACCUAUCAGCUAGUUGGUGGGGUAAUGGCCUACCAAGGCGACGACGGGUAGCCGGCCUGAGAGGGCGACCGGCCACACUGGGACUGAGACACGGCCCAGACUCCUACGGGAGGCAGCAGUGGGGAAUAUUGCACAAUGGGCGAAAGCCUGAUGCAGCGACGCCGCGUGAGGGAUGACGGCCUUCGGGUUGUAAACCUCUUUCAGCAGGGACGAAGCGCAAGUGACGGUACUUGCAGAAGAAGCACCGGCUAACUACGUGCCAGCAGCCGCGGUAAUACGUAGGGUGCGAGCGUUGUCCGGAAUUAUUGGGCGUAAAGAGCUCGUAGGCGGUUUGUUGCGUCGGCCGUGAAAACCUGGGGCUUAACCCUGGGCCUGCGGUCGAUACGGGCAGACUUGAGUUCGGUAGGGGAGACUGGAAUUCCUGGU